GAUCCUGGCUCAGGACGAACGCUGGCGGCGCGCCUAACACAUGCAAGUCGAACGAGCGGAGAGAGAGCUUGCUUUCUUCAAGCGAGUGGCGAACGGGUGAGUAACGCGUGAGGAACCUGCCUCAAAGAGGGGGACAACAGUUGGAAACGACUGCUAAUACCGCAUAAGCCCACGACCCGGCAUCGGGUAGAGGGAAAAGGAGCAAUCCGCUUUUGAGAUGGCCUCGCGUCCGAUUAGCUAGUUGGUG
rnacentral:rRNA from 1 species